GACGAACGCUGGCGGCGUGCCUAAUACAUGCAAGUUGAGCGCUGAGGCCUGGUUCUUGUAGUAACUGGGUGGCCAGCGGACGGGUGAGUAACGCGUGGGGUGUCUUCCUCUUAGCGAUGGACUCCGGUUAGAGACGCAUGCUAAUACCGCGUAAACCCUUUGCACAGAGGGGGUAGGUUAGUAUGGUCCGAUGGCAUCACUCUCACGUCAUCUCGCGUUGUAUUAGCUGGAUGGUGAGGUAAAGGCUCACCAAGGCGGUGAUACAUAGCCGACCUGAGAGGGUGGUAGGCCACAUUGGGACGGAGACAGGGCCCAAACUCCUACGGGAGGGAGCAGAAUGGAACCGUCGGCAAUGGACGAGAGUCUUACAGAGCAGCGCCGCGUGAGUGACGAAGGUGUUCGGAUCGUAAAGCUCUGUUGGUAGAGAAGAACGGUGGUGAGACUGGAAAGAGCAUCAAGUGACGGUAGCUAGCAAGAAAGCGACGGCUAACUACGUG
rnacentral:rRNA from 1 species